GAUCAUGGCUCAGGAUGAACGCUAGCUACAGGCUUAACACAUGCAAGUCGAGGGGAAACGACAUCGAAAGCUUGCUUUUGAUGGGCGUCGACCGGCGCACGGGUGAGUAACGCGUAUCCAACCUGCCCAUCACUUGGGAAUAACCUUGCGAAAGUAAGACUAAUGCCCAAUGACAUCCCACGAAGGCAUCCGAAUGGGAUUAAAGAUUUAUCGGUGAGGAGNGGGAGGUGCGGU
rnacentral:rRNA from 1 species